rnacentral:rRNA from 1 species
AUUGAACGCUGGCGGCAUGCCUUACACAUGCAAGUCGAACGGUAGCGGGCCUUCGGGUGCCGACGAGUGGCGAACGGGUGAGUAAUGCAUCGGAACGUGCCAUUGAGUGGGGGGAUAACGUAGCGAAAGUUACGCUAAUACCGCAUAUUCUGUGAGCAGGAAAGCAGGGGACCGCAAGGCCUUGCGCUCUUUGAGCGGCCGAUGUCAGAUUAGCUAGUUGGUGAGGUAAAGGCUUACCAAGGCGACGAUCUGUAGCGGGUCUGAGAGGAUGAUCCGCCACACUGGAACUGAGACACGGUCCAGACUCCUACGGGAGGCAGCAGUGGGGAAUUUUGGACAAUGGGGGCAACCCUGAUCCAGCCAUGCCGCGUGAGUGAAGAAGGCCU